CCACCAUUCCCAUUUUACCCCUGAAGAAGGAAAGGUUCAUCUUUCAAAAGUGCUCGGGUUAUGGUUUUUUUAUUCAUUUCUAUCAAGGCUUCUUGAACCUAUGUGUUUUUCUAACAUUAUGAAUUAAAGAUCAUUAAACUAUAUAAAAAUUAAAUUAGGAGUAGAGAAGUACUGAUGACAUCAUCAUAUGUGUGUGGCAAGCUUUUUAAACUAUCAAACUAUGCAAAAUUGAAAUUAGGAGGAGGGAAGUAUGGACGACGUCACCAUAUUUGUAAGGAAGGGCUCUGAUUCGAGCCCGAGACUUCUUGCACACCAAGGGAGAUUUUGGGCUCAGACAUCUAAUGCUUCAGAUUCAUCCCAGCCUGUGAUUUCAAGCAGUAGCUGUCCAUUUAUAUUAUUGAGUCAUGGUCAUCUUUCCUUCAGUCCUGUGAAGUUCGGUUCUCAUUGGUCCAAUGCAUCUGACAGUCAAGUGCUAAAACCUCCAAAGCCUCCAGACAAACCACUUAUGCCUUACAUGAGAUAUAGUCAUAAGAUGGAGUACAGUGAAGCUUUAAAAUGUUAUCACAAUUCUCCAGCUUACCAGGCUUGGGUUGCUGCUAAAGUUUGAAGUAAAGAUCCAUAUUCAUGGUAUAGUUGGUACUAAGGAUUGCAUCUUAUCCCUGUAGCAGUAUUUUAAAUUUUUAGACAUGCUACAAAUGUGUUGACACCGCAACUGACCAAAAAGUGGUAGAAAGAAUACACGAGCAACUGAAAUACGAAAUGAUGACAACUGAUGAACAG
rnacentral:misc_RNA from 1 species